CCUUAUUAGGUGAAGUCAAUGAUCCCAUGCUGCCAAGAAAAGCCUCUAGCGAGCUUCGAGCGGCCCGUACCCCAAACCGACACAGGUGGUCAGGUAGAGAAUACCGAGGCGAUCGGGCGAACUGUGGUUAAGGAACUCGGCAAAUUACCCCCGUAACUUCGGGAGAAGGGGGGCCACAGACUGUCAUACCCCACGCGGGUGGCAGCAGUAGGUGGCCGCAGAGACCAGGGGGAAGCGACUGUUUACUAAAAACACAGGUCCGUGCGAAGUCGUAAGACGAUGUAUACGGACUGACGCCUGCCCGGUGCUGGAACGUUAAGGGGACCGGUUAGUCCGCAAGGGCGAAGCUGAGAACUUAAGCGCCAGUAAACGGCGGUGGUAACUAUAACCAUCCUAAGGUAGCGAAAUUCCUUGUCGGGUAAGUUCCGACCUGCACGAAUGGCGUAACGACUUCCCUACUGUCUCAACCACAGGCCCGGCGAAAUUGCACUACGAGUAAAGAUGCUCGUUACGCGCGGAAGGACGGAAAGACCCCGGGACCUUCACUAUAGCUUGACAUUGGUAUCCGAAUUUAAUUGUGUAGGAUAGGUGGGAGGCUUUGAUCCGCGGACGCCAGUCCGUCGGGGAGCCAACGUUGAAAUACCACUCUGUUGACUUUGGGUAUCUAACUUCGGACCGUGAUCCGGUUCAGGGACAGUGUCUGGUGGGUAGUUUAACUGGGGCGGUUGCCUCCUAAAAUGUAACGGAGGCGCCCAAAGGUUCCCUCAGCCUGGUUGGCAAUCAGGUGUUGAGUGCAAGUGCACAAGGGAGCUUGACUGUGAGACUGACAGGUCGAGCAGGGACGAAAGUCGGGACUAGUGAUCCGGCACCUGCGAGUGGAAGCGGUGUCGCUCAACGGAUAAAAGGUACCCCGGGGAUAACAGGCUGAUCUUCCCCAAGAGUCCAUAUCGACGGGAUGGUUUGGCACCUCGAUGUCGGCUCGUCGCAUCCUGGGGCUGGAGUAGGUCCCAAGGGUUGGGCUGUUCGCCCACUAAAGCGGCACGCGAGCUGGGUUUAGAACGUCGUGAGACAGUUCGGUCCCUAUCCUCCGCGCGCGUAGGAGACUUGAGAAGAGCUGUCCCUAGUACGAGAGGACCGGGACGGACGAACCUCUGGUGUGCCAGUUGUCAUGCCAAUGGCACGGCUGGUUAGCUACGUUCGGAAGGGAUAACCGCUGAAAGCAUCUAAGCGGGAAGCUCGCUUCAAGAUGAGGUCUCCCACCCCUUAGAGGGUUAAGGCCCCCAGCUAGACCACUGGGUUGAUAGGCCAGAAGUGUAAGCCUGGUAACAGGUUCAGCCGACUGGUACUAAUAGGCCGAGGACUUCACCG
rnacentral:rRNA from 1 species